UACAAUGGUUAUUCAGUGGGUAGACAGAUAGUGAUAUGAUAGACU
rnacentral:misc_RNA from 1 species